rnacentral:rRNA from 1 species
GCAAGUCGAGGGGUAACAUUGUAGCUUGCUACAGAUGACGACCGGCGCACGGGUGCGUAACGCGUAUGCAACCUACCUUCUACAGGGGGAUAGUCAAUAGAAAUGUUGAAUAAUACCCCAUACGAUCAUUUAUCUGCAUAGAUUAAUGAAGAAAGCUCCGGCGGUAGAAGAUGGGCAUGCGUCCUAUUAGUUAGUUGGUAAGGUAACGGCUUACCAAGACAUCGAUAGGUAGGGGUCCUGAGAGGGAGAUC